rnacentral:rRNA from 1 species
UACGUAGGGUGCGAGCGUUAAUCGGAAUUACUGGGCGUAAAGUGUGCGCAGGCGGCUUUGCAAGACAGAUGUGAAAUCCCCGGGCUUAACCUGGGAACUGCAUUUGUGACUGCAUGGCUAGAGUGCGGCAGAGGGGGAUGGAAUUCCGCGUGUAGCAGUGAAAUGCGUAGAUAUGCGGAGGAACACCGAUGGCGAAGGCAAUCCCCUGGGCCUGCACUGACGCUCAUGCACGAAAGCGUGGGGAGCAAACAGG